AGAGUUUGAUCCUGGCUCAGAUUGAACGCUGGCGGCAGGCCUAACACAUGCAAGUCGAGCGGGGGUAGCAAUACCCUAGCGGCGAACGGGUGAGGAAUGCUUGGGAAUCUGCCUGGUAGUGGGGGAUAACGUUCCGAAAGGAACGCUAAUACCGCAUACGUCCUACGGGAGAAAGGGGGGGAUCUUCGGACCUCUCGCUAUCAGAUGAGCCCAAGCGGGAUUAGCUAGUUGGUGAGGUAAAGGCUCACCAAGGCUACGAUCCCUAGCUGGUCUGAGAGGAUGAUCAGCCACACUGGAACUGAGACACGGUCCAGACUCCUACGGGAGGCAGCAGUGGGGAAUUUUGGACAAUGGGCGCAAGCCUGAUCCAGCCAUGCCGCGUGAGUGAAGAAGGCCUUCGGGUUGUAAAGCUCUUUCAGCCGGAAAGAAAUCGCACCGAUUAAUACUCUGUGUGGAUGACGGUACCGGAAGAAGAAGCACCGGCUAACUACGUGCCAGCAGCCGCGGUAA
rnacentral:rRNA from 1 species